rnacentral:rRNA from 1 species
AGUGAACGCUGGCGGUAGGCCUAACACAUGCAAGUCGAACGGCAGCACAGUAAGAGCUUGCUCUUACGGGUGGCGAGUGGCGGACGGGUGAGGAAUACAUCGGAAUCUACUUUUUCGUGGGGGAUAACGUAGGGAAACUUACGCUAAUACCGCAUACGACCUACGGGUGAAAGCAGGGGAUCUUCGGACCUUGCGCGAUUGAAUGAGCCGAUGUCGGAUUAGCUAGUUGGCUGGGUAAAGGCCCACCAAGGCGACGAUCCGUAGCUGGUCUGAGAGGAUGAUCAGCCACCCUGGAACUGAGACACGGUCCAGACUCCUACGGGAGGCAGCAGUGGGGAAUAUUGGACAAUGGGCGCAAGCCUGAUCCAGCCAUACCGCGUGGGUGAAGAAGGCCUUCGGGUUGUAAAGCCCUUUUGUUGGGAAAGAAAAGCAGCAGGUUAAUACCCCGCUGUUCUGACGGUACCCAAAGAAUAAGCACCGGCUAACUUCGUG